rnacentral:rRNA from 1 species
AGGACGAACGCUGGCGGCACGCUUAACACAUGCAAGUCGAACGAGGUUCAAGGAGCUUGCUCCUGAAGACCUAGUGGCGAACGGGUGCGUAACACGUGAGAAACCUGUCCCGAACUUGGGAAUAACAACCGGAAACGGCUGCUAAUACCGAAUAUCUUCGUAACGUCGCAUGGCGAAUCGAAGAAAGCUUUAUGCGGUUUGGGAGGGUCUCGCGGCCUAUCAGCUAGUUGGUGAGGUAACGGCUCACCAAGGCAUCGACGGGUAGCUGGUCUGAGAGGAUGAUCAGCCACACUGGGACUGAGACACGGCCCAGACUCCUACGGGAGCAGCAGUGGGGAAUAGUUGCACAAGUGGGACGAAAGCCUGAUGCAGCGAUGCCGCGUGGCGGAAGACGGCCCGUAGGUUACGUAACCGCUUUACGAGGUAGGAAGAAAAGUCGAACGGUAACCUACGAAGAAAGGAAGGUGACGGACCAACGUACGACGACCAAG